rnacentral:rRNA from 1 species
CUCGACCCCAGGUCAGGCAUAUCAAUAAGCGGAGGAAA